rnacentral:rRNA from 1 species
UGGGGAAUAUUGCACAAUGGGGGAAACCCUGAUGCAGCGACGCCGCGUGAACGAAGAAGGUAUUCGUAUCGUAAAGUUCUGUCCUAUGGGAAGAUAAUGACAGUACCAUAGAAGAAAGCUCCGGCUAAAUACGUGCCAGCAGCCGCGGUAAUACGUAUGGAGCGAGCGUUGUCCGGAAUUAUUAGGCGUAAAGGGUACGCAGGCGGUUUAAUAAGUCGAAUGUUAAAGAUCGGGGCUCAACCCCGCAAAGCAUUGGAAACUGAUAAACUUGAGUAGUGGAGAGGAAAGUGGAAUUCCUAGUGUAGUGGUGAAAUACGUAGAUAUUAGGAGGAAUACCAGUAGCGAAGGCGACUUUCUGGACACAAACUGACGCUGAGGUACGAAAGCGUGGGGAGCAAACAGG